UGAAAAUCGUCCCUGUUAGAGACUCUUGUGCAGAUAUUGCGUUGGAUCUUAAAACAUUCUGGUAAUAUGUUUGUGAUAAUUCUUCAUUAUCCUACUGCUACUUGCUUGGCUAAUUGUCUUUUUCAGAAUUCUUCUUGUCAGAUUUGAUUAUCCGAUUUUUGAGAAAAUAGAAAAAAAAUCUAAGGGCAUCGUCUGUGGGAAACGCUUUAAAAAUUUUGAUAAAUUCGUCCUUCAGGUUACAGGAAAAGAUGUACCUCAAUACACAACACCAUUCGCAGAAGCCUGCCUGUGCCAUCUACUACUUCAAAGCUUUAAAAAUUCUGGCUACAUAAAACCAACAAGUGUUCAGAAAGCUUCAGUUACAGGUAUUCUUGCCAAAAGAUAUUUAAUUGCACGGGCUCCGGCAAAACAGUGAUCCAAUUAAUUAACGCUUACUAAUUUUGAAACCUGGAUGUCCUCAUACUGACUUGAUUCAAAGGGGUUGGAGUGAACUGGGUAAGUUGAAGUAAAAGUAGUUUUGAGUGGGCACGCUGGUAAUUGCGACUACUUAAAGGUCCAAUUGCAUCUAAGUUUAUUGGCAUUUUACUUAGUAUUGAAAUUAAAUCAACUUUAAAUGGACAACUUGAUGGCCAAAAGAUAAAUAAACUAUCGGAA